CAGCAUUUGUUUGAUAUAGAAUCCAUACUAGGUUGUACUUUUCUUUCCAGCGAAACGUAACUGAUCCUGAAUGCGAAGCAAAAUGACUCACUGAGCAUUUACGUGUCUACAGCUUUGCACAAGCUGCCAUGCCUCCGCAACAUGGCUGUGUGGACUAAGCAGGAAGCGUAGCCAGGACACACGCACACACACACACAGAUGCCAGAUAACUUCAGGAACAGAAAACUGCUCUACCCCUUGGAAGACAGCAUACAUGGGGAGGAGACACGCGUCCUUUCUGCUCCCAUCCCCAGCUGCUCGCCAGGCUGGGCUGGCACAUGCCAGCAUAGAACUAAUGCAAAGAUUAAGAACUAUGAGUGAAUGACAGCUCACCAUGGCUCCACAUGGCAGUCCCCAAGGCAAAGGAGUACCAGAGGCAAAGCUGUAGAUGUUCUGGAAACUGAUUUAAAACAGAGGCCUCUUUUGGGCAUAAACAAUCCCUGUUGUCAAAGCAGCUGGUAUUGCAGGAGGGACAGAAACAGUGAAAAGGAGGAGUGCCAUUGC